rnacentral:lncRNA from 1 species
CCGCUCCAAGGGAGGGAUCUGUUGAAAUCUGGUUGCAGGGUUAUUUGGGACAGUGCCUCAGGCUCCGGGCCCAGGCCUCUCCCGGGGGCGCUGGCUUAUCCACAGCUCUUGCUGGGGUGGGAGCUUUGGGGGAGCGCCCCCCCCCCAAGGAGAAAAGGAACGAGCAAGGUCUUUGCUUAAAUCGGUUCCUUGAAGCCACAUAGGCCUACCCAGCUGGGCUGGGAGCUGAGAAUGGCGAGGUGGAGACCAGGGGAGGUUGAACGGGAGCUUCUCACCUGGGGCGGGUGGGUGCUUGUCACCCUCCCGCCCGCUUUCCUCCACUCCUGGGCCAGAGCCGCGUCCAGCACCACGGACAGCUCCCGGGCGCCCGCAUCUCGUCGUUCUCCAGAGGGAGCGCUAGCCGGACAUCGUGACGCUCCGGCGAAUGGGCCCAAAGGGGUCCCUCCAAGCCCUGCCGCCCAGCCCAGGACUCUCUCAAGUCCCCGAUGAUCUUAUGCUCCUCAGCAUUGUCAGGAGUGAGCUGAAUUCAGACUUACUGAGGUCCCCCAGCCUAUGGGCCAGGGAGACUUUGAGCAACAGGGGCUUUUGUCUCGGAGCGCUCAUUCCUUGUUGUACAAGCUUGAGCUGGGAGGAAGGAUGGUUUGGGCAUCAUCCCCCACUGAUAGCAGUGGAGCCUGUAGGCCUGCAGGGAAGGACCAGGCUGAGGCUGGCAUAUGGAGGGAGAGCCCUGGGCACAGGGGCAUGAGCCUCACCCGGCCAGGGCUACCUUCUGCCGGGUUUGUCCAUCUGGCACCAGCUGGCUUUCCAGCGCUGCCCCCACAGCCAACCGGACUCCUUCUGCUUCUGUUGCCAUAGCAACUGGCUGCCAUCUUGUACUCGGGGCACUAUCUCCUAUCUGGAUUUUCCCAUGGGGUUCCUGGAGGAUGGGACGUAGGUCUCCAGCGAUGUAUCCCUUCCUCCUGAUAGCCAUCCGAUAAGAACGGCCACGAUGGGGGCCAACGACAUGUCAGGCUCUGUGCUAAGUACUCCCUAGGUGUUAUUUAAUACGGCAGAGAAAGCCUCCAUGUGAUCAAUUUAAAAGGUUCCCAGUUUCUUGUUUCUAUGACAGACCUUUCCUCUCUCCAACCAGGAAGCACCACGAUCUUGCUUAUUCUGCCUUGCAAGGUCCUUCCCAGUGUCUAACUGAGACCUGUUCUGCUGAAGUACCAGUUCUCUGACCCUGGGCUUGACAUGGCUAGAUGGAGAGGUAAGGAACGGACUGUCACCUGCUUUAGUCACUUUAUUGGGCUUCGUGGACUCCAACUGAUGGCCUAGGGAAACACACAUGGGUACCUUGGUGAGGUCUGAGUGCCCCUUAAAGACUUGGGGACACAAGUCUGCAAUCUUUUGUUCAGAGGGGCACCUGGCUGGCCCAGUCAGUAGAGCAUGCGACUCUUGAUCUCAGGGUCAUGAGUUCAAGCCCCACAUUGGGUGUGGAGGCUACUUACAAUAAAACAAUGAUAAUAAUAAUGAAUGAAUGAAUA